rnacentral:rRNA from 1 species
CCUACGGGUGGCUGCAGUGGGGAAUUUUGGACAAUGGGGGCAACCCUGAUCCAGCCAUUCCGCGUGAGUGAAGAAGGCCUUCGGGUUGUAAAGCUCUUUUGUCCGGAGCGAAACGGGCGGCCCUAAUACGGUCGUCUACUGACGGUACCGGAAGACUAAGCACCGGCUAACUACGUGCCAGCAGCCGCGGUAAUACGUACGGAGCUAGGGUGAGUCGGACGUACGGAGGGGAAAUCGUGCGCAAGAGGUGAAAUCCCCGGGCUCAACCUGGGAAUGGCAUUUGGGACUGCAAGGCUGGAGUGUGGCAGAGGGGACUAGAAUUCCUGGUGUAGCAGUGAAAUGCGUAGAUAUCAGGAGGAAUACCGAUGGCGAAGGCAGGUCCCUGGGUUAACACUGACGCUCAUGCACGAAAGCGUGGGGAGCAAACAGGAUUAGAUACCCUUGUAGUC